AUUGAACGCUGGCGGCAGGCCUAACACAUGCAAGUCGAGCGGUAGCACAGAGAGCUUGCUCUCGGGUGACGAGCGGCGGACGGGUGAGUAAUGUCUGGGAAACUGCCUGAUGGAGGGGGAUAACUACUGGAAACGGUAGCUAAUACCGCAUAACGUCGCAAGACCAAAGUGGGGGACCUUCGGGCCUCAUGCCAUCAGAUGUGCCCAGAUGGGAUUAGCUAGUAGGUGGGGUAACGGCUCACCUAGGCGACGAUCCCUAGCUGGUCUGAGAGGAUGACCAGCCACACUGGAACUGAGACACGGUCCAGACUCCUACGGGAGGCAGCAGUGGGGAAUAUUGCACAAUGGGCGCAAGCCUGAUGCAGCCAUGCCGCGUGUGUGAAGAAGGCCUUCGGGUUGUAAAGCACUUUCAGCGGGGAAGAAGGCGGUGAGGUUAAUAACCUUGUCGAUUGACGUUACCCGCAGAAGAAGCACCGGCUAACUCCGUGCCAGCAGCCGCGGUAAUACGGAGGGUGCAAGCGUUAAUCGGAAUUACUGGGCGUAAAGCGCACGCAGGCGGUCUGUCAAGUCGGAUGUGAAAUCCCCGGGCUCAACCUGGGAACUGCAUUCGAAACUGGCAGGCUAGAGUCUUGUAGAGGGGGGUAGAAUUCCAGGUGUAGCGGUGAAAUGCGUAGAGAUCUGGAGGAAUACCGGUGGCGAAGGCGGCCCCCUGGACAAAGACUGACGCUCAGGUGCGAAAGCGUGGGGAGCAAACAGGAUUAGAUACCCUGGUAGUCCACGCCGUAAACGAUGUCGAUUUGGAGGUUGUGCCCUUGAGGCGUGGCUUCCGGAGCUAACGCGUUAAAUCGACCGCCUGGGGAGUACGGCCGCAAGGUUAAAACUCAAAUGAAUUGACGGGGGCCCGCACAAGCGGUGGAGCAUGUGGUUUAAUUCGAUGCAACGCGAAGAACCUUACCUGGUCUUGACAUCCACAGAACUUUCCAGAGAUGGAUUGGUGCCUUCGGGAACUGUGAGACAGGUGCUGCAUGGCUGUCGUCAGCUCGUGUUGUGAAAUGUUGGGUUAAGUCCCGCAACGAGCGCAACCCUUAUCCUUUGUUGCCAGCGGUUAGGCCGGGAACUCAAAGGAGACUGCCAGUGAUAAACUGGAGGAAGGUGGGGGUGACGUCAAGUCAUCAUGGCCCUUACGACCAGGGCUACACACGUGCUACAAUGGCAUAUACAAAGAGAAGCGACCUCGCGAGAGCAAGCGGACCUCAUAAAGUAUGUCGUAGUCCGGAUUGGAGUCUGCAACUCGACUCCAUGAAGUCGGAAUCGCUAGUAAUCGUAGAUCAGAAUGCUACGGUGAAUACGUUCCCGGGCCU
rnacentral:rRNA from 1 species